CAGAGGCAGCAAUAGGGAAUCGUCGGCAAUGGGGGCAACCCUGACCGAGCAACGCCGCGUGAGUGAAGAAGGUUUUCGGAUCGUAAAGCUCUGUUGUAAGAGAAGAACGUGUGUGAGAGUGGAAAGUUCACACAGUGACGGUAACUUACCAGAAAGGGACGGCUAACUAC
rnacentral:rRNA from 1 species